UCAGGAAACAGGAGGAGCUCAUGUAGCCCAGGCUGGCCUCCAGUUCCAUAUAUAGAUGAAGAUGACCUUGAACUCCUGAUCCUACCCCCACCCCCACCCCCGCAGACUGGGAUAUCAGGUAUAUGCCACCACACCCAGUUUACAUGAUGCUGGAGAUCAAACCAAGGGCCCUGUGCAUGCUGGGUAAGCACUCUACCUCCCGAGCUGCAUCCCCAGCACACAUCUGUCCUCUCCAUGCACCAUGGUUAAAGAAGAUCUGCAUAAAGAAGAUGCGAAGGAGAUCAGCUGCCACCACUGGUGCCCCCACUCACAUUUUGGAAAGUCUGGACAGUGCCACAAACACACCAAAUCGCUGUCUAGAGCAGGAGGGACCCUGGGCCUCUGUCUACAACAGCAGGGACACCAAGCCUCUCUCUCUGCUGCAGCACAUGUCACAGCAAAAUUCGCAUUGUUAUUCUGUUUGUUCAGAGCAAAGCGUGAAGCACAGGGUUUUGGGAAUGGCUCGGUCCCAGAUGCAUCCUUUUGACUGGAAAGUCCCUCUCCGAUCUGCCUGUCUGUCCUGUCUCCGUAUCCCUUAAAGUCAUCUGCUCAGAAAAGCCCUGUGCAUAAUAUCCUGGUGUUUUGUUUCUGUCUGUUUUUGGAAGAAUAAAAUAUCCAGGACUAAGGAAGAGCUUAUAAGGAAAGGAGUUUUCUAUGGUUUAAAGUUCUGGAGGCUGUGAAAUCUAAGAUUAUAGCUGGCACUUGCUGGGAUUUGGUGAAGGACACUUUGCUACACUGCAGUUCAGAGGCCCACCACACUAUAACCAGCUUGCCUAUGUUCCCUGCAGCAGCGUGGGGCAGGAGAGUGCCUAGCUGAGCUGAUUGCAUGAUUGUUCUUAGCACCCCUCUGACUGUGACCUGGACUCCACACAUGUUUGAGAGUAUGUUGUCAAGCCUCAGUUUUCCCAUGUGGGAUGCUUACACGUUCUAAGCCUGUCUCUCCAGCCGUGGAGAACUCCUGGGGAAGGGAUGAAAGUUUGAGGCAUCAACUUUCAACCUCACUCUCUAUUGACAUAACCUAGGGAUGCUUUGAUGUCUCCGCUGCAUCAACGUUCAUCCAGACUCACUGGGGCUAAG
rnacentral:lncRNA from 1 species